rnacentral:rRNA from 1 species
GAUAAACGCUGGCGGCGUGCCUAAUGCAUGUAAGUCGCACGCGCGACAUUCGGGUCGCGAGUGGCGAACGGCUGAGGAACACGUACGAACCUGCCCAUUCGUGGGGAAUAACGCGCGGAAACGUGUGCUAAUACCGCGUACGCUGGGGCAACCCAGGAAAGCCGCAAGGCGCGGAUGGAGGGGCGUGCGGCCCAUCAGGUGGUUGGCGGGGUAACGGCCCACCAAGCCUUUGACGGGUAGCUGGUCUGUGAGGACGAUCAGCCAGACUGGGACUGCGACACGGCCCAGACACAUACGGGUGGCAGCAGCAAGGAAUCUUCUACACUGGGCGCAAGCCCGAUAGAGCAACGCCGCGUGGAGGAUGACGGCUCUCGGGUUGUAAACUCCUUUCAGGGGGGACGAAACGGACGGUACCCCCAGAAGCAGCCCCGGCUAACUCUGUGCCAGCAGCCGCGGUAAUACAGAGGGGGCAAGCGUUGUCCGGAUUGACUGGGCGUACAGCGCGCGCAGGCGGCCCGGGACGUGCCGUGUGACAGCGCGGAGCUCAACUCCGCGUGGUCACGGUAGACGCCCGGACUGGAGGCCGAGAGAGGGAUGUGGAAUGCCUGGUGGAGCGGUGAAAUGCGUAGAGAUCAGGCGGAACACCAGCGGCGAAGGCGGCAUCCUGGCUCGGACCUGACGCUGAGGCGCGAGAGCGUGGGGAGCGAACCGGAUUAGAUACCCGGGUAGUCCACGCUGUAAACGAUGUGAACCCGGUGCUGGGCGGAGAUUGCGCCGCUCGGUGCCCCAGCUUACGCGAUGAGUUCACCGCCUGGGGACUACGGCCGCAAGGCUAAAACUCAAAGGAAUUGACGGGGGCCCGCACAAGCAGCGGAGCGUGUGGUUUAAUUCGACGCGACACGCAGAACUUUACCCAGGCUUGACAUGCACCUGCAUAGUAGUGAAAGCUGCUAGCCUUCGAGGGUGGUGCACCGGUGCUGCAUGGCUGUCGUCAGCUCGUGUCGUGAGAUGUUGGGUUAAGUCCCGCAACGAGCGCAACCCUUGCCCUGUGUUACAUGUGUCACGGGGGACUGCCGCUGCAUGGCAGCGGAGGAAGGCGGGGAUGACGUCAAGUCCGCAUGGCCCCUACGCCUGGGGCGACACACACGCUACAAUGGCCGGCGGAAUGCGCAGCGAGCCCGCAAGGGGGAGCCAAUCGCGAAGGUCGGUCUCAGUGCAGAUUGGGGGCUGCAACUCGCCCCCAUGAAGGCGGAGUUGCUAGUAACCGCGUGACAGCAGAGCGCGGUGAAUACGUACCCGGGCCU